AGGAAAUUAUGCAUUAGGUUUGUUGUAAUUGAUACUGUGAGGGAGCGAGGAAUGAUGGAAAUGUUAGAGAGCUAUUGUGAUUGGUGGAUUUCAAUGCUAUGAAAAGGGGCAAAUGUAAUGAGCUCUCACUGUGGCGAAUUGAGAAGCUAAGUGGGUUAACGAAGCAGAAGCGUUUGUUGGGGGUGAGAGGAUUUGAAACGAGCAAAGGGUAGGGACAUCGGGCUCGUGAUGUUGUUUAAGGAGAAUAGAAUUAUGUGGAGGAAGGAAGAUGGUGGACAAAGGUAAUGAGAAUCGAAAGAGGGUAAACGUUUUAUUAUUAUG
rnacentral:misc_RNA from 1 species